GCCCCUGUAGUCUAGUCCGGCCAAGGAUAGGGCCCUCUCGAGGCUCUGGCGCGGGUUCAAAAAUAUGAGAAUCCAAGUCUCUGUUUGAAAGUCCCGCCGGGGGCA
rnacentral:tRNA from 1 species